GCUGGAGCUUGCUCCGGCGGAUUAGUGGCGAACGGGUGAGUAACACGUGAGCAAUCUGCCCUUGACUCUGGGAUAACUGCGGGAAACUGUAGCUAAUACCGGAUACUUUCCUCGCUGGGCAUCCAGCGGGGAAGAAAGAAUUUCGGUCAAGGAUGAGCUCGCGGCCUAUCAGCUAGUUGGUGAGGUAAUGGCUCACCAAGGCGACGACGGGUAGCCGGCCUGAGAGGGUGACCGGCCACACUGGAACUGAGACACGGUCCAGACUCCUACGGGAGGCAGCAGUGGGGAAUAUUGCACAAUGGGCGAAAGCCUGAUGCAGCAACGCCGCGUGAGGGAUGAAGGCCUUCGGGUUGUAAACCUCUUUUAGCAGGGAAGAAGCGAAAGUGACGGUACCUGCAGAAAAAGCACCGGCUAACUACGUGCCAGCAGCCGCGGUAAUACGUAGGGUGCAAGCGUUGUCCGGAAUUAUUGGGCGUAAAGAGCUCGUAGGCGGUUUGUCACGUCUGCUGUGAAAUUCCGAGGCUCAACCUCGGACUUGCAGUGGGUACGGGCAGGCUAGAGUGCGGUAGGGGAGAAGGGAAUUCCUGGUGUAGCGGUGGAAUGCGCAGAUAUCAGGAGGAACACCAAUGGCGAAGGCACUUCUCUGGGCCGUAACUGACGCUGAGGAGCGAAAGCGUGGGGAGCGAACAGGAUUAGAUACCCUGGUGGUCCACGCCGUAAACGGUGGGUGCUAGCUGUGGGCCACAUUCCACGUGGUCCGUGACGAAGUUAACACAUUAAGCACCCCGCCUGGGGAGUACGGCCGCAAGGCUAAAACUCAAAGGAAUUGAC
rnacentral:rRNA from 1 species